rfam:Asian citrus Psyllid, Diaphorina citri - Florida Strain, whole genome shotgun sequence.
GCCUAGUUAGCUUGCAGGGUAGCGCCUUGUAAGCGCUAGGUUGCGGGUUCGAUUCCCGCCCGGGGCC